rnacentral:rRNA from 1 species
GACGAACUGCCCAAACGUUGUUCGGAAUCACUGGGCUUAGAGGGCGCGUAGGCGGCAAAUCAAGUCAGGGGUGAAAUCCGGCAGCUUAACUGUCGAAGUGCCUUUGAUACUGAUUUGCUCGAGGGAGGUAGGGGUGUGUGGAACUUCUGGUGGAGCGGUGAAAUGCGUUGAUAUCAGAAGGAACGCCGGUGGCGAAAGCGGGUCUCUGGGCCGAUACUGACGCUGAGGAGCGAAAGCGUGGGGAGCGAACAGG